rnacentral:rRNA from 1 species
AUUGAACGCUGGCGGCAGGCCUAACACAUGCAAGUCGAAUGGUAACAGGAAGCAGCUUGCUGUUUCGCUGACGAGUGGCGGACGGGUGAGUAAUGUCUGGGAAACUGCCUGAUGGAGGGGGAUAACUACUGGAAACGGUAGCUAAUACCGCAUAACGUCGCAAGACCAAAGAGGGGGACCUUCGGGCCUCUUGCCAUCAGAUGUGCCCAGAUGGGAUUAGCUAGUAGGUGGGGUAACGGCUCACCUAGGCGAUGAUCCCUAGCUGGUCUGAGAGGAUGACCAGCCACACUGGAACUGAGACACGGUCCAGACUCCUACGGGAGGCAGCAGUGGGGAAUAUUGCACAAUGGGCGCAAGCCUGAUGCAGCCAUGCCGCGUGUAUGAAGAAGGCCUUCGGGUUGUAAAGUACUUUCAGCGGGGAGGAAGGGAGUAAAGUUAAUACCUUUGCUCAUUGACGUUACCCGCAGAAGAAGCACCGGCUAACUCCGUG